AUAGGUUAAUGAGGCGAACCGGGGGAACUGAAACAUCUAAGUACCCCGAGGAAAAGAAAUCAACCGAGAUUCCCCCAGUAGCGGCGAGCGAACGGGGAGGAGCCCAGAGCCUGAAUCAGUGUGUGUGUUAGUGGAAGCGUCUGGAAAGGCGCGCGAUACAGGGUGACAGCCCCGUACACAAAAAUGCACAUAUUGUGAGCUCGAUGAGUAGGGCGGGACACGUGGUAUCCUGUCUGAAUAUGGGGGGACCAUCCUCCAAGGCUAAAUACUCCUGACUGACCGAUAGUGAACCAGUACCGUGAGGGAAAGGCGAAAAGAACCCCGGCGAGGGGAGUGAAAAAGAACCUGAAACCGUGUACGUACAAGCAGUGGGAGCCUCUUAAUGGGGUGACUGCGUACCUUUUGUAUAAUGGGUCAGCGACUUAUAUUCUGUAGCAAGGUUAACCGAAUAGGGGAGCCGAAGGGAAACCGAGUCUUAACUGGGCGUUAAGUUGCAGGGUAUAGACCCGAAACCCGGUGAUCUAGCCAUGGGCAGGUUGAAGGUUGGGUAACACUAACUGGAGGACCGAACCGACUAAUGUUGAAAAAUUAGCGGAUGACUUGUGGCUGGGGGUGAAAGGCCAAUCAAACCGGGAGAUAGCUGGUUCUCCCCGAAAGCUAUUUAGGUAGCGCCUCGUGAAUUCAUCUCCGGGGGUAG
rnacentral:rRNA from 1 species